GACGAACGCUGGCGGCGUGCUUAACACAUGCAAGUCGAACGGAAAGGCCCGGCUUUUGCGGGGUGCUCGAUUGGCGAACGGGGGAGUAACACGUGAGUAACCUGCCCUUGACUUUGGGAUAACUUCAGGAAACUGGGGCUAAUACCGGAUAGGAGCUCCUGCUGCAUGGGGGGGGUUGGAAAGUUUCGGCGGUUGGGGAUGGACUCGCGGCUUAUCCGCUUGUUGGUGGGGUAGUGGAUUACCAAGGCUUUGACGGGUAGCCGGCCUGAGAGGGUGACCGGCCACAUUGGGACUGAGAGACGGCCCAGACUCCUACGGGAGGCAGCAGUGGGGAAUAUUGCACAGUGGGCGGACGCCUGAUGCAGCAACGCCGCGUGCGGGAUGACGGCCUUCGGGUUGUAAACCGCUUUCGCCUGUGACGAAGCGUGAGUGACGGUAAUGGGUAAAGAAGCACCGGCUAACUACGUG
rnacentral:rRNA from 1 species